AUGUCUUCUCAUUCUUCCACUUUGUCCUCUCUUCGAUCGCUGGAUUCUCCUGUUCAUGUCCUCACUGCUGAUGGUACUCCACUUUCUGUCGUUAGUAGAGGCAAUCUUACCACUCCUUACUCUGUUCCUGAUGUUGCUCAUGUUCCUCGACUUACCAUGAAUCUGUUUUCUGCUGGUCAACUUACUGAUUCUGGUUGUCGCGUCAUCCUUGACGUUGACUCUUGUUCUGUCCAGGACCGUCGCACGCACACUCUGGUUGGGGCUGGCCCUCGCCGCCGUGAUUCUCAGGGUCUUUGGGAAUUGGACUGGCUUCAUGUUCCUUCUGCUGCCACCACUAUCACCAGUUCCUCCGCUUUAGUCGCCUCCGUUACUGGUUCCUUCAAGCAGUGGCAUCAUCGACUUGAUCAUCUGUGUGGUUCUCGGUUGUCAUCUUUAGUUCGUUGA
rnacentral:rRNA from 1 species